UGCAAGUCGAGCGAGAUUUUUUCUUGUAGCAAUACAGGGAAAAGUCUAGCGGCGAACGGGUGCUUAACACGUGGGCAACCUGCCGUGAAGUGGGGGAUAGCUCGCCGAAAGGCGAAUUAAUACCGCAUGUGAUUAGAGAGGACAUCCUUUCGAAAUUAAAGUCGGGGCAACCUGACGCUUCUUGUGGGGCCCGCGGCCUAUCAGCUAGUUGGUGAGGUAACGGCUCACCAAGGCUUUGACGGGUAGCUGGUCUGAGAGGACGACCAGCCACACUGGGACUGAGACACGGCCCAGACACCUACGGGUGGCAGCAGUCGAGAAUUUUUGACAAUGGGGGAAACCCUGAUCGAGCGACGCCGCGUGGAGGAUGAAGGUCUUCGGAUUGUAAACUCCUGUCAUUGGGGAACAAGGUGCAUACGUUAACUGCGUGUGUAUUGAUAGUACCCGAAGAGGAAGGGACGGCUAACUCUGUGCCAGCAGCCGCGGUAAUACAGAGGUCCCAAGCGUUGUUCGGAUUCAUUGGGCGUAAAGGGUGCGUAGGCGGCGCGGUAAGUCGGGUGUGAAAUCUCGGAGCUUAACUCCGAAACUGCAUUCGAUACUGCCGUGCUUGAGGACUGGAGAGGAGACUGGAAUUUACGGUGUAGCGGUGAAAUGCGUAGAUAUCGUAAGGAAGACCAGUGGCGAAGGCGGGUCUCUGGACAGUUCCUGA
rnacentral:rRNA from 1 species